AGAAUCAACGCUGGCGGCGUGCCUAACACAUGCAAGUCGCACGAGAAAGGGGCUUCGGCUCUGAGUAAAGUGGCGCACGGGUGAGUAACACGUGAAUUAUCUACCUCCGAGUGGGGAAUAACUGAGAGAAAUCUUAGCUAAUACCGCAUAACACUUACGAGUCAAAGCAGCAAUGCGCUUGGAGAGGAGUUCGCGGCCGAUUAGUUAGUUGGCGGGGUAAUGGCCCACCAAGACGAUGAUCGGU
rnacentral:rRNA from 1 species